UGGUGCCAGCAGCCGCGGUAAUUCCAGCUCCAAUAGCGUAUAUUAACGUUGUUGCAGUUAAAAAGCUCGUAGUUGAAAUGAAGGGUGGUUGUGUAAUGAAUACAUUCGUGUAUUUUGUUAUUCAACUACCCUCCUUCUAAAUUCGAUAUAUGAGUAUUAAUUUACUUGUAUAUGGUUUUAGACGUUUACUGUGAGAAAAUUAGAGUGUUCAAAGCAGGCAUUUGCUUGAAUAUAUUAGCAUGGAAUAAUCAUGUAUGAUUUUCAUGAUGUAUUUGAUUGGUUUGGUUCAUGAGAAUAAGAUUAAAAGGGACAGUUGGGGGUAUUCAUAUUCAAUAGUCAGAGGUGAAAUUCUCGGAUUUAUGGAAGAUGAACAAGUGCGAAAGCAUUUACCAAGGAUGUUUUCAUUAAUCAAGAACGAAAGU
rnacentral:rRNA from 1 species